AAUGAUGCAUGCAUACAAAUAGAGUGAAUAUGUUCAGUAGAUCAUAACAGUUACAGAGAUAUGUUACAUGGCAUAUGUAGCAUAAAACAUAUUCCAAUUAUUUCAUAGAUAUAUUCAUAAGUAUAUUUCCAUAAAGCAUUAUGAGGUGCC